AGUGAACGCUGGCGGUAGGCCUAACACAUGCAAGUCGAACGGCAGCACAGUAAGAGCUUGCUCUUACGGGUGGCGAGUGGCGGACGGGUGAGGAAUACAUCGGAAUCUACUUUUUCGUGGGGGAUAACGUAGGGAAACUUACGCUAAUACCGCAUACGACCUACGGGUGAAAGCAGGGGAUCUUCGGACCUUGCGCGAUUGAAUGAGCCGAUGUCGGAUUAGCUAGUUGGCGGGGUAAAGGCCCACCAAGGCGACGAUCCGUAGCUGGUCUGAGAGGAUGAUCAGCCACACUGGAACUGAGACACGGUCCAGACUCCUACGGGAGGCAGCAGUGGGGAAUAUUGGACAAUGGGCGAAAGCCUGAUCCAGCCAUACCGCGUGGGUGAAGAAGGCCUUCGGGUUGUAAAGCCCUUUUGUUGGGAAAGAAAAGCAGCAGGUUAAUACCCCGCUGUUCUGACGGUACCCAAAGAAUAAGCACCGGCUAACUUCGUA
rnacentral:rRNA from 1 species